AGAAAAUGAUGCAAAGAAAAUGGGGAAGUGGGGAUAUUAUGGAUAAGUCUCAUCAAAUGCUAAUUAAAGGGGAACCAAGAUAUGAGAAGGGGGAUCCAUCCAAAAAAAUAAAUACACACGAUCCAAAUUUAUCUAUUUUGCUUUCUUGUUUGCUUUUAUAUUUUUGUUCCUAAAUUCCUGUUAUUUUAUCAAUUAUCCGUUUCGUAAUCCGAUUCCUUUUUGUUUUUGCUGCUUUCUUCUGAUUAUGUCAAUGUAGUAGUUUAAUUUCCCGUAUAGUUACAAUCGUUAACUUUCAUUGCAAGGCCAAGCUCGGAUACUUUCUUGAGUAGGUUGGAGAAUCCAAUUCUCGUCGAUUUCAACUGGCCUAAAUCCGUUGAGCCGUCAUCGAAGAAUUUCAAAGAUAAUAGAUACAAAACGUGAAUAAUUAUACGUCACACAAACAAUUGAAAGCCAGAACCGAUGACACCAAAACUCUUGCAGUUCGAUUCGUUCAGAAGGGGGAAGAACAUACAGAAAACUCCACAUAACAGGAGAAGAUGGGCGCCAUAGAAGAGAUAUGGCAACGAAGAUGGUGAGGCUAGAGAGAGAGAGAGAGAGAGUUGUAUAUAAAGAGAGAAAUAGUGAGGUCUUGCGAAGGAAUAAGGCGAGGGUUGAGGAUUGUAUUCCUAUAAAAGCAAAUGAAACACUAUCAGACUAGUUGUUUCGAUGGAACACAACAGUGUGUUGAUCUUUCAGCUCGUACGUGCUCGUGUAGAAGGUGGCAAUUAAGUGGGAUACCUUGUCAUCAUGCGAUUUCGGUAAUUGGGAACCAAGGCGAGGAUGUGGUAAGCUAUAUGGAGCAGUUUUAUUCAGGUAAGACAUAUAACAAGGUGUACGCAUUUUCAGUUAAAGCAAUCAACUCUGAAAAAUUUUGGGAGUCAACAGACUUUGUUCCACUGAAGCCACUGCCGGUUAAAAAAGGGGUGGAAAAACCAAAGAAGUUGCGAAAGAGAAAGGCCGGAGAGGCUAGGAAAAAAAUUUGUGACCAAGGAUGGUACAGAUAGGCUAAAAAGAGUUCAAAAAUCCAUUGCGCGUGGGAAUUGUGAUGGAGUUGGGCACAACUCACUUCAUUGUCCUUAAAAGGAACCGUUCGAAAGACUUUCUCAGCUUCGGCACGUCGAGGUAGACGAAAGCCAAGUGCAACAUAUAUUCCCCCGAGGCGAAUUACAUGUAGUUGCGAUUGAAAGCUAACAGUGAGACCUUAUAAGAAGAUGCAGUUUCAUUGGAGGUCACCAUGUCUGCGUUAUGAGACAUUCCAAUGCAAACAUCACGGAUGUCCCAUGUCUGCUUCCACUUUCACCUAGACAAGGACAACACCGUCGGGAAAGGCAUACCAUAGAUUCUGAUCUGAUUGAUAUUCAGAUCUCCCAUAAAAAGCAACAUGAAAAGAUACCAUUGCCACCUCAAUCCCGACAAAUGCGUGAACAACAACAACAAAAGGGGAACUCCACUAUAUGGACCUUUGAUGUUCAAGCAAUGCAACAAUGGAACCAAGAAGCUACCAACGCAGGUCAUACUCCCCCUAUCCGAUAUGCCAGCUGGUGUUCGGGCAUUGGAAAUUAGACGGAUCAUACGCCAUCACAAUUCAUCAAGCCUUGCAAACUACAAAUCGCAACACCUACAUUAAAUACUUAAUUAUAA